rnacentral:rRNA from 1 species
CCUACGGGAGGCAGCAGUGGGGAAUAUUGCACAAUGGGGGAAACCCUGAUGCAGCGACGCCGCGUGAGUGAAGAAGUAUUUCGGUAUGUAAAGCUCUAUCAGCAGGGAAGAAAAUGACGGUACCUGAUUAAGAAGCCCCGGCUAACUACGUGCCAGCAGCCGCGGUAAUACGUAGGGGGCAAGCGUUAUCCGGAUUUACGGGGUGUAAAGGGGGCGUAGACGGCAGCACAAGUCUGGGGGAAAAUGCCGGGGCUUAACCCCGGAACGGCUUGGGAAACUGUGCAGCUGGGGUGGAGGGGGGGUAGGGGAAUUUCUAGUGUAGCGGUGAAAUGCGUAGAUAUUAGGAGGAACACCAGUGGCGAAGGCGGCUUACUGGACUGUAACUGACGUUGAGGCUCGAAAGCGUGGGGAGCAAACAGGAUUAGAUACCCGGGUAGUC